rnacentral:rRNA from 1 species
GACGAACGCUGGCGGCGUGCUUAACACAUGCAAGUCGAACGGAAAGGCCCUGCUUUUGUGGGGUGCUCGAGUGGCGAACGGGUGAGUAACACGUGAGUAACCUGCCCUUGACUUUGGGAUAACUUCAGGAAACUGGGGCUAAUACCGGAUAGGAGCUCCUGCUGCAUGGUGGGGGUUGGAAAGUUUCGGCGGUUGGGGAUGGACUCGCGGCUUAUCAGCUUGUUGGUGGGGUAGUGGCUUACCAAGGCUUUGACGGGUAGCCGGCCUGAGAGGGUGACCGGCCACAUUGGGACUGAGAUACGGCCCAGACUCCUACGGGAGGCAGCAGUGGGGAAUAUUGCACAAUGGGCGGAAGCCUGAUGCAGCAACGCCGCGUGCGGGAUGACGGCCUUCGGGUUGUAAACCGCUUUCGCCUGUGAGGAAGCGUGAGUGACGGUAAUGGGUAGAGAAGCACCGGCUAACUACGUG